AUUGAACGCUGGCGGCAGGCCUAACACAUGCAAGUCGAGCGGAUGAAGGGAGCUUGCUCCUGGAUUCAGCGGCGGACGGGUGAGUAAUGCCUAGGAAUCUGCCUGGUAGUGGGGGAUAACGUCCGGAAACGGGCGCUAAUACCGCAUACGUCCUGAGGGAGAAAGUGGGGGAUCUUCGGACCUCACGCUAUCAUAUGAGCCUAGGUCGGAUUAGCUAGUUGGUGGGGUAAAGGCCUACCAAGGCGACGAUCCGUAACUGGUCUGAGAGGAUGAUCAGUCACACUUGAACUGUGACACAUUCCUGGUUCCUACGGGAGGCAGCAGUGUGGAAUUUUGGACUAUGGGCGAAAGCCUAAUCCAGCCAUUCCGCGUGUGAGAAGAAGGUGUUGCGAUUGUAAAGCUCUUUAAGUUGCGAGGAAUGGCAGUAAGUUAAUGCCUUGCUGUUUUGACGUUACCAUCAGAAUAAGCCCCGGCUAACUUCGUG
rnacentral:rRNA from 1 species